rnacentral:rRNA from 1 species
UAAAGCGAGCGCAGACGGUUACUUAAGCAGGAUGUGAAAUCCCCGGGCUCAACCUGGGAACUGCGUUCUGAACUGGGUGACUAGAGUGUGUCAGAGGGAGGUAGAAUUCCACGUGUAGCAGUGAAAUGCGUAGAGAUGUGGAGGAAUACCGAUGGCGAAGGCAGCCUCCUGGGAUAACACUGACGUUCAUGCUCGAAAGCGUGGGUAGCAAACAGGAUUAGAUACCCUGGUAGUCCACGCCCUAAACGAUGUCAAUUAGCUGUUGGGCAACUUGAUUGCUUAGUAGCGUAGCUAACGCGUGAAAUUGACCGCCUGGGGAGUACGGUCGCAAGAUUAAAACUCAAAGGAAUUGACGGGGACCCGCACAAGCGGUGGAUGAUGUGGAUUAAUUCGAUGCAACGCGAAGAACCUUACCUGGUCUUGACAU